AUUGAACGCUGGCGGAAUGCUUUACACAUGCAAGUCGAACGGCAGCACGGGGGCAACCCUGGUGGCGAGUGGCGAACGGGUGAGUAAUACAUCGGAACGUGCCCAGUCGUGGGGGAUAACGUAGCGAAAGUUACGCUAAUACCGCAUACGAUCUACGGACGAAAGCGGGGGACCGUAAGGCCUCGCGCGAUUGGAGCGGCCGAGUUCAGAUUAGGUAGUUGGUGAGGUAAAGGCUCACCAAGCCGACGAUCUGUAGCUGGUCUGAGAGGACGACCAGCCACACUGGGACUGAGACACGGCCCAGACUCCUACGGGAGGCAGCAGUGGGGAAUUUUGGACAAUGGGCGCAAGCCUGAUCCAGCCAUUCCGCGUGCAGGACGAAGGCCUUCGGGUUGUAAACUGCUUUUGUACGGAACGAAAAGGCUCUGGUUAAUACCUGGGGCUCAUGACGGUACCGUAAGAAUAAGCACCGGCUAACUACGUGCCAGCAGCAGCCGCAG
rnacentral:rRNA from 1 species